CAUGUUAAAAGUACAGGACCACUAAGCUUUUUAAGAUUCAAGGCAUAAAAAUAAUUUUCUUUGGCACCAAUAAAAUGUUAUUUAUUAGACUUUAAAUAGGGGAUUCAUAUGACAUUGCCAAUAUGAUCAAAAUUCAUGUUGUCUAGACAAACUUAAUAAAUAAGUUCCCCUGAAGGGUAAUUUUUCGAAAGAACAGACGGCAUUGAACUACUUACGGUUGCCACGGUAGCCAGGGGCAGAUCCGGGGGUUUUAUGGACCAAAAAAACCUGAACCCUGUUUCUGAACAUUCUAUUCAACAACAAGUGACCCAGGUAGAUAAAUUUGUACUGGACCAUGAUACAGCAAAAGUGUUCACUUUUUUAGCUACAGACAUUUCAAAUGUUCUCUGUUACUUGUCACCAUAAUGUGUUAGCAUCACAUUCUUCAUUGUACAAU